rnacentral:rRNA from 1 species
UGGGGAAUAUUGGACAAUGGGGGAAACCCUGAUGCAGCGACGCCGCGUGGGUGAUGAAGGCCUUCGGGUCGUAAAGCUCUGUCGUAUGGGACUAACAAAAUGAAGGUACCAUGCAAGAAAGGAUCGGCUAACUUCGUGCCAGCAGCCGCGGUAAGACGAGGGAUCCUAGCGUUGUUCGGAAUUAUUGGGCGUAAAGCGGGUGUAGGCGGACUUAUAAGUCAGGUGUGAAAUCCCAGGGCUCAACCCUGGAAGUGCACUUGAUACUGCAAGUCUUGAGUGUGGUAGAGGCUAUUAGAAUUCCUGGUGUAGUGGUGAAAUACGUAGAUAUCAGGAGGAAUACCGGAGGCGAAGGCGGAUAGCUGGGCCAACACUGACGCUGAGACCCGAAAGCGUGGGGAUCAAACAGGAUUAGAUACCCUAGUAGUCCCUGAGCGGGCUGGCAAGGCGCAU